rnacentral:rRNA from 1 species
CGACGGCGUGCCUAUUGAAGAAUGAACCGGCGAGUUACUUCAGCUAGCGAGGUUAAGCGGAAAACGUGGAGCCGAAGCGAAAGCGAGUCUGAACAGGGCGUAUAGUUAGUUGGAGUAGACCCGAAACCACAGUGAUCUACCCAUGUCCAGGUUGAAGCACAGGUAAAAAUGUGUGGAGGACCGAACCAGUGAGCGUUGAAAAGCUUUUGGAUGAGAUGUGGGUAGGGGUGAAAUGCCAAUCGAACGUGGAGAUAGCUGGUUCUCCCCGAAAUAGCUUUAGGGCUAGCCUCAUGGCGAGAGUACAGGCGGUAGAGCACUGAACGGGGUAGGGGCCUAUCCGGCUACUGAACCUAAUCAAACUGCGAAUGGCUGUACUUAUCCAUGGGAGUCAGACUGUGAGUAAUAAGGCCCAUAGUCAAGAGGGAAACAGCCCAGACCAACAGCUAAGGUCCCCAAUGCCGUACUAAGUGGCGAAGGAUGUGGAAUUUCGAAAACAACCAGGAUGUUGGCUCAGAAGCAGCCACCAUUAAAAGAGUGCGUAAUAGCUCACUGGUCGAGAGACUCUGCGCCGAAGAUGUCCGGGGCUAAAGUACGGAACCGAAGCUUUGGCAAUUGAC